rnacentral:rRNA from 1 species
AAAUGACUCUCGGCAACGGAUAUCUCGGCUCUCGCAUCGAUGAAGAACGUAGCGAAAUGCGAUACUUGGUGUGAAUUGCAGAAUCCCGUGAACCAUCGAGUUUUUGAACGCAAGUUGCGCCCGAAGCCUUUUGGCCAGGGCACGUCUGCCUGGGCGUCACRC